CAGUCGCCGCGGGAAUACGUAUGUCACGAGCGUUAUCCGGAUUUAUUGGGCGUAAAGCGCGUCUAGGUGGUUAUAUAAGUCUGAUGUGAAAAUGCAGGGCUCAACUCUGUAUUGCGUUGGAAACUGUAUAACUAGAGUACUGGAGAGGUAAGCGGAACUACAAGUGUAGAGGUGAAAUUCGUAGAUAUUUGUAGGAAUGCCGAUGGGGAAGCCAGCUUACUGGACAGAUACUGACGCUGAAGCGCGAAAGCGUGGGUAGCAAACAGGAUUAGAUACCCCUGUAGUCCCUGUCUCUUAUACA
rnacentral:rRNA from 1 species